GUACUCUAUGCUUUGAUAUAUUUUGUAUUAUGAAUUUGUAUUAUUUUUUUUUUUUUUUUUGGUUUUCGCUUAUGUAAUAUUUUCCUGCCUUUCUUAUUUAUUUCAACCAGUUUGUAGGGUUCGACCUAUACAGGAAUGCAAUCGAUAGAGUUAUGCAACAUCGAGAAUUCAAUAAAUCGCAGCAUUACGUGACCCGAACUUUUAACGCGCGCCUCCGUUAUACGAGAUAUUGAUUUGUCCCAUGGGUAAUCGAUGACGAGGCGAGAAUUUCUCGACGUUGCAUGAUCAUGUAAACGACAGUGAGGUGACGAGAGCGCUUUUCUUUUUAUUGAAGAUCUUUCGACAAAUCAAGUUUAACGAAGAAUCAUUCGUAUCUUAUUUCAACGUUUAAGAAGUUGUUAAUUUUCUUUCCACUUGAUUUGUCACGUCACGAUGUAAAAAAUGCUCUCGUAAACUCAAUAUGUGUAUAAAAUACAAGCAAAAGGUCGAAUCAGAUUUAUUGUAAAUCGAAUUCAACGUUUUGUUACAGGCUUGCAGAUUCCUUCGAGUAAAGAAAGGAUAUACAGCUAAUUAAAAAUAUCAAGGCGAUCCGUACGAAGUAAAUAUUUAAUUUAUUUUCUCGUUGUUAAAGAAGAUAUCCAAAAGAUGGAUUUUUCUAAAACAUCUUAUACAUCUGUGAUCGAUGACCAGGUAUCGAAACAGUUUGACAAAAAGUUAAAAUGACGAUUAAAUUCGUUCGAAUCGUUGAUCAAACAAUGAAUGGAAUCCAUUUAUUUACUCGAGAAGGAUUGAUAUUCCAUCGAGAAGGACCGAUGAUAUUCUAUAGAAAAAAAAGAAUGAAGAAACGUAACAAGUCCACAUAAACAACAUGUCACUAAACUAUUGAGAGGCUUGAGAUUCAUCUUCUCAAAUUGUCUUUCUCCGAUGAAUCGUUUUAUGUGUUUAUCGUAUGCUACAAUCUACGUAUGAUAAAUGACACCUAAUGUGAAAAACCGUGCGUACCAUCGGUUUGAUUUCGUCGCGAAUCUGGCCGGAAUCUGCCCAACUAUUAUUUAUUUGCGUUUCAUUUUCUCUGCUUUAGUACUUUAGCUUUCAGCAUCUACAUAUUCUUUAAAGAAAGACGUUUCUCUUGUUAGUAGCAGCGUUUUUGUUAAUCUUCCAGGCCGCAGUGUCAUGCACUGUUGGUACGUGGCUUUAAUAAAAGACGCACUGGUGUUUUAGGAAGAAUAUAACAUAAUUUGAUAUAAUAAUUAUUCAAGCGAUUUAACGAAAUUCCUUUAAUUAGCUGUUUGCAGCUAAAAGUGUUACAUGUACCGUAUGUACAUAUCGCUGUCGUUUAUCUAAUAUUUGUUUAUUGUUAAGCACACUUUUAAGGUGUUGCAGUAGAAUAGUUAAAAUAGAUAGUAGUAAAAACAAUAAAAAAUAAAUUAUACGGGAAAGAUUAAGUAACGUAUGAGUUACGUUCAAUUCUUUCCAUUACCGUAUAGUAUAUUUGACACUUUACCUAAAACACCCUAUGCUAAAAAGAUAGUAACAAGCUUAAUUAAUGCAUCGUGUUCCGUUCGCUGCUAAUCCGAUAAAAACGAAUAAAUAGGAGGGCAAAAAUGCGAGUUAAGGUUCACAAGGGUUUUGUCCCCGUUUUUGGGUGUUCUUCCAAAGCCGUGCGUGUCUCACCUAUCCGUAGCAAGCCGUAGAUGUACAUGAUAAAAGCUUAUCGAAGCACGAUUCUUUCCUUCUAAAAGAGAAAAACGAAACAUUCGAGCCGCUCUCACAAAAAAAGAAAAAAAAAGAAAGAAAGAAAUGAAAUGUAACACGACGCCACGUAACGUGUAAAAAAGUAUACUAACCUGGUGGGGGUGAAAAAUACCGUCUCAAAAAAUCGCAUCGUACUCUCCGAAAGCGGAGAGGAAAAAAGAGCGAUCAGAUAUUUUCUAAAAAUUUUCUUAUCUCAUUUUUUACACUGCUCGCCGGUCGCUCAAUGAAUCGCAAUACACUUAGAAAUUCGCCGCGAAGUACAAGUUAUUCCUGUUAAUCGUUACGAACUCGUGGUCAUCAUCAAGACUGCACGAAACACAGGUUUUUUCUACAGGGUUUUUCUACAGAAUCUAUAUCGCUAUCUAUCUACUGCUACGAUUCUACUGGUUCGAAAAUUACUUUAAUCCGGUUAAUCAAUGCGUCACUGUCGAAGGAAAGAAUUAUAAUUAUAUUUGGUUGGUGGAGAAGCAACGAAGAGCAAAGCGAUUGCUACACAAUUUCAUUGUUUUCGUGAUUUUAUUCUAUCUUAAUUUCUGCUGCAUUCUUUCACUUGUUUUCGACACAAACCCAUCGUUAAACAAUUCUUUAACUUAUCGAUAGGUGUGAUUUUUUGUUGCAAUUUUUCUAAAAUAACAUUUCGAUUAAUUCGUUGAAUAUAUAAAUACACCAUUGCAACUUAGACCAAAGACUAGGUCGAUGAAAUUUCCGUACAAAGAUAUCGAUUUUGCUUUUAACAAACGUAUUUAUAUCUUUUCCAUCUACGUAAUUUUUAGUAAAGAUUAAACAAUGCAAUGGGAUUUAUCAUAAUAUUUAGAAUCUGUUAUAUUAUUUAUUGUAAAAUGGUGACUAUUUGAAAUUGUUCCUUUCAGCGCUAUCAGAGAUCAACGUUACUUUUCCACCAACUCGGUAUUAUAAUUGAUAAGCAGGUAAAAGGUUGAGGUUGGAGGGAUCGGAUUGAGAGAGAAGAAAAAAGUACAUGCCAUCUCCUGAAAAAGAUAGAAAUUUUUGGAUCUAGCUGAAAUUAAUUAUCGCUUGUUAGUCGGAGGAAAAGAAUACUUCGAAUACGCGUGCGUAGUAAAGCAUAUAUUAAUUGGAGUGUUUGGGUCAAUUGCUCCACAUCGUCCUUCUAUCUCCUAUAUUCGAUUCUUUUCUCCAUUUUGUCCUCGUUUAUGAUAAUAUAAUAAUAACGAAUAUAAAAAUUAAGAAAUUGAACAACGAAUGGAGAUAAGUGACGAUAUUGGAUCGAAUAGAUCAAUGGUAAAAAAUUAGAACGCGCAAGCGUCGAGAGAAAAUUUCCAGCUUUUUCAAGUUUGGCGGCCAUAUUGAAUUUACUUUUAUUCACUCCUUUUGCUUUCCUUUCUUUCAUUUUUCUUCUAUUUAUAAGUCUCACGACUAUUUUUUCUCUGAUGAAUUCAGCCUUUUACCACAAUUAUUACGAUCGAAUCGCCGUCAUACGCUCUUCCUUUCUAUAUUUUUCUUCCGAUUACCUAUCCAAAUCGUUCUUUUAUUCAUGCUCUUUAAUUCAUCUCUCGUUCUUUUCGAUCCGGAUUAGUGUAAUCAAACUGCGACCUCCACCUCAGCUGCAAGAGUUAACACGUCCUAAAUAUCGUUUGCCGUCGUGGACAAAAGUGAAAAGACAAAAAGUUCCUUCGAUUAUACAGCGAAAAAGGAAAAAUCAAAAAUGGCGUUGGCGAGGGCAACGCUCCUGGCGAAACGCAACGAAAAAUAUCGCAUUCGAAAAAAUAUUCGCCCGCGUGUAAUUAGAAAAAUCGUCUCGAAGUAGCAUAAAAUCAAUAACAUCGAGAAAAUGAAAUUUUUCUCAAUAGCAGCGCUUCUCGAAAAAAUAAAAACAUACCGUAUCUUGAGAAGUAAAAAACGAUCGCUGAAAAA